rnacentral:rRNA from 1 species
GACGAACGCUGGCGGCGUGCUUAACACAUGCAAGUCGAACGAAGUGGCGAACGGGUGAGUAACGCGUAAUCAACCUGCCCUUCAGUGGGGGAUAACAGUUGGAAACGACUGCUAAUACCGCAUACUGAAGGAGGGGAUUGCGGCUGAUUAGCUAGUUGGAGGGGUAACGGCCCACCAAGGCGAGGAUAAGUAGCCGGGCUGAGAGGAUGAACGGCCACAUUUGGACUGAGACACGGGCCAGACUCCUACGGGAGGGAGCAGUGGGGAAUCUUCCGAAAUGGACGAAAGUCUGACGGAGCAACGCCGCGUGAGUGAUGACGGCCUUCGGGUUGUAAAGCUCUGUUAAUCGGGACGCGGUACCGGAAUAGAAAGCCACGGCUAACUACGUGCCAGCAGCCGCGGUAAUUC